AAAAAAGAAGUUAUUCUAAAGUAGCUUGUAAAAAUGUGCAAGUAUAUUCUGAUUCUAUACGAUGUAGCUUGUAAACAUGGCAAACAGGAAACUAUUUUGAUGAACAUAAAUGAUAAAAAAAUGAUUAAUCUAUUACAACUUUAAAUUGUGAGUUCUAAUAGUUAUUUGCACUUUCAUGCAAGCACACACAGAGGUAUAAACUAAAAUCCAGUGGUUAUUUAUCGAUAUGGCCUUGAAAAUGUUGUAUUUCACACAAUUCUCUCAAGUAAUUACAGUUUUGGGUUCUGAAUGAUGUUUUUGGACCUUACAAUCAAAGAGAAGCUAUCCAACUCUGUGUCCAGUUGGACGUUGUCACACAUAUAUUCCUUUUUUUGGAAUAUAUAUUUUGCGGGCGGGGGAACUUGAUCCUGCAACUAGCAGGAUUCGUUCCAAUGUGGCUGCCCCUUUGGUUUUAUGGCCUCAAGAUAUACAUGUAAUUUUUUCUGUUACUUGAAAAAAAGAACAUAGAUAAAAUAUUAGUAUGGCCUUAUGGACAUGUAGAUACUUUGCUUUGUUAGUUGUUUAAUGGACAUGUCAUGGUCAUUUUAUUUGCCUGUCUAG